CGGGGUGUGGCCCAGUAGCCUAAGGCGCUGCGUUCGGGACGCAGAGAUCGGCGGUGCGAAUCCGCCCACCCCGA
rnacentral:tRNA from 5 species